GACGUAGGGCGCGAGCGUUGUCCGGAUUUAUUGGGCGUAAAGAGCUCGUAGGCGGCUUGUCGCGUCGAAUGUGAAAACUCGGGGCUCAACUCCGAGCUUGCAUUCGAUACGGGCAGGCUAGAGUUCGGUAGGGGAGACUGGAAUUCCUGGUGUAGCGGUGAAAUGCGCAGAUAUUAGGAGGAACACCAAUAGCGAAGGCAGCUCGCUGGGACGUUACUGACACUGAGGCGCGAAAGCGUGGGGAGCGAACAGG
rnacentral:rRNA from 1 species